rnacentral:rRNA from 1 species
GCCUAUCAGCUAGUUGGUGAGGUAGUGGCUCACCAAGGCGACGACGGGUAGCCGGCCUGAGAGGGCGACCGGCCACACUGGGACUGAGACACGGCCCAGACUCCUACGGGAGGCAGCAGUGGGGAAUAUUGCGCAAUGGGCGAAAGCCUGACGCAGCAACGCCGCGUGCGGGAUGAAGGCCUUCGGGUUGUAAACCGCUUUCAGCAGGGAAGAAGCGAAAGUGACGGUACCUGCAGAAGAAGCACCGGCUAACUACGUGCCAGCAGCCGCGGUAAUACGUAGGGUGCAAGCGUUGUCCGGAUUUAUUGGGCGUAAAGAGCUCGUAGGCGGUUAGUCAUGUCGGAUGUGAAAACCCAGUGCUUAACACUGGGCCUGCAUUCGAUACGGGCUGACUAGAGUGUUGUAGGGGAGACUGGAACUCCUGGUGUAGCGGUGAAAUGCGCAGAUAUCAGGAAGAACACCGGUGGCGAAGGCGGGUCUCUGGGCAACUACUGACGCUGAGGAGCGAAAGCGUGGGGAGCAAACAGGAUUGGAUACCCUGGUAGUCCACGCCGUAAACGGUGGGCGCUAGGUGUGGGGAACAUUCCACGUUCUCCGUGCCGCAGCUAACGCAUUAAGCGCCCCGCCUGGGGAGUACGGCCGCAAGGCUAAAACUCAAAGGAAUUGACGG